ACCACAUCUUCACCCUCAGCUUUGUCGUGUAGCGGAACCAUGAGCCAGUACGCUUCGGCAAGCGAUCUCCAAGCAAUGGAUGUUCCUGCUGCUGGUGCACCCUCAAUUACUGACAGCAUGAGCCAGUACGCUUCAGCAAACGAUCUCCAAGCACUGGAGGCCUCAACUUCUUCUGGCACCAUGAGCCAGUAUGCUUCCGCAAACAAUCUCCAAGAACUCGAUGACGAGGAGGAAGAAGAGGAUCCAGACCAGGUCUUCGAU
rnacentral:lncRNA from 1 species